GUGAAAGCGAGUAUACUGAUGAUGAUGUCGGAAGUAACGGAAUCGUCAUCGAAGUAAAAGAAACAUUAUAUAUGCAAUAUCCAAGCUGACUUAUAUUAUUUUCCAAACAAGAAAUCUGCUGUGACUUUAGCCUGAUGGGGAUUGAUCAGGAUUCUUCAUUUACACACAAAAAUAAUGACAGUAAAUAUUUGCAGAUGGGAUCAAAGACGUAUAUUGUCAGAAACGCUUGAUUAUCUGUAUGUCAGUUGCUGUGCCAUGAAGUGGUGGAAUAAUGUAAUUAAUAGAAACACAUGGAAUAUGUGGAAUACAGUGAAACUUGAUUAUCUAGGUGUAAACAAUCAUGAUAUUAAACAGAGAGACAUGGUAAUAAAUAUGUGUACAUGGAA